ACGGGAGGCAGCAGUGGGGAAUAUUGCACAAUGGGGGAAACCCUGAUGCAGCGACGCCGCGUGAGUGAUGAAGUAUUUCGGUAUGUAAAGCUCUAUCAGCAGGGAAGAUAAUGACGGUACCUGACUAAGAAGCCCCGGCUAACUACGUGCCAGCAGCCGCGGUAAUACGUAGGGGGCAAGCGUUAUCCGGACUUACUGGGUGUAAAGGGAGCGUAGACGGCUUAGCAAGUCUGAAGUGAAAGGCAUGGGCUCAACCUGUGGACUGCUUUGGAAACUGUUAAGCUAGAGUACCGGAGGGGUAAGCGGAAUUCCUAGUGUAGCGGUGAAAUGCGUAGAUAUUAGGAGGAACACCGGUGGCGAAGGCGGCUUACUGGACGGCAACUGACGUUGAGGCUCGAAAGCGUGGGGAGCAAACAGGAUUAGAUACCCUGGUA
rnacentral:rRNA from 1 species